rnacentral:rRNA from 1 species
AUACCGGGCCUUUUUGGGCUUGGUAAUUGGAAUGAGGGAGAGUUAAACGGACCAUCGAGUAUCCAUUGGAGGGCAAGUCUGGUGCCAGCAGCUGCGGUAAUACCAGCUCCAAUAGCGUAUAUUAAAGUUGUUGCAGUUAAAAAGCUCGUAGUUGGACUUGUGUGCGCUGUCCGCGGGUGGCCUGCGCCCAAAAGGGCGUUUCGGUUCGGCCCCGGUGGCGCCUUGAAAUCUGCAGCUGGGGGGACGUUGGCCUUAACUGGUCGGCGACCGCACGCCGGCUGCUCGGUUACUGUGAGAAAAUUAGAGUGUUCAAGGCAGGCAUUGGGUGCAAUUGAAUACAUUAGCAUGGAAUAAUAAAAUAUGGCUCCUGCCGUAUUUUGUUGGUUUUGACUGGUGGGAGUAAUGAUUGAUAGGGACGGUUGGGGGUGCUAGUAUUGAGCGGCCAGAGGUGAAAUUCAUGGAUUCGCUCAAGACUAACUUAUGCGAAAGCAUUCACCAAGGACGUCCUCUUUAAUCAAGAACGAAAGUUGGGGGAUCGAAGACGAUCAGAUACCGUCGUAGUCUCAACCAUAAACUAUGUCGACUUGGGAUCGGCGGUAGUUUUUUCAUUAAGACACUGUCGGGACCACGGGAGAAAUCAAAGUGUCUGGACUCUGGGGGAAGUAUGGUCGCAAGGCUGAAACUUGAAGGAAUUGACGGAAGGGCACCACCAGGAGUGGAGCCUGCGGCUUAAUUUGACCCAACACGGGGAAACUUACCAGGUCCAGAGAUGUAGAGGAUUGACAGAUUGAAGCUCUUUCUUGAUCACUUCGGUGGUGGUGCAUGGCCGUUCUUAGUUGGUGGAGUGAUUUGUCUGGUUAAUUCCGUUAACGAACGAGACCUCAGCCUGCUAGUGUAGUCGGCUGGAUUGCCUUUGGCGAUCCGUGAUUUCGACUUCUUAGAGGGACAAUCGACGCGCAGUCGAUGGAAGUUUGAGGCAAUAACAGGUCUGUGAUGCCCUUAAAUGUUCUGGGCCGCACGCGCGCUACACUGCUGGGCUCAGCGAGUUUUACUUGGCCGAGAGGCCCGGUUAAUCAUGUGAAAUCCCAGCGUGCUUGGGCUCGCCUCCUGCAACUGGAGGCGCCAACGAGGAAUUCCUAGUAGACGCAGGUCAUCAACCUGCAUCGAUUACUUCCCUGCCCUUUGUACACACCGCCCGUCGUUCCAUAAGAGUGAGGCAUCCGGUGAAUUCUCGGGAGAGCCUGGGCGUGGCCAGCAAUGGUCUGCUCGGGUUUGAACUUGCAUAAACUUGGUGCCUAUGAUUAGGG